rnacentral:tRNA from 1 species
GCCAACGUAGCUCAGGGGAAGAGCGGGCGCUUCAUAAGCGCUAGGUCGCAGGUUCGAGCCCUGCCGUUGGCACCA